rnacentral:lncRNA from 1 species
AUGCCUUCUAGUCAAUGGUGUGCCUUAUAGUUCAUCCACACAUAAUUUCUCUCCUCCCAAUCUCUCUCCGCUGUUUGGCAACUCAGCUAUUUCUCAUUUACACAGACAAUGGACAAAACUCACACGAUCGGUGCCGCCCGACCCCAGCUGUAGCUCCGACACCGCUGUUGUCCUCCGAGUAUACUCCAACUUCAGCCCUUCUGAUCUGGAAC